CAGAGCUGUUGUCCGCCCUCGGUCCAUAGCAGACAUAAAACGUCGCACAGCUCUGCGCUGUUCCUGGAAGAACAACUGCGCGAAAAGCUGCGGCACACGGGACAGGUGCAACGCCUUCUUUAAGAGCACAGCCAGGAUCUAAUUGGAGUGACAGAAGAUGCUGGGUGCACUGGAAUGAAGACACCUUUCAAAAGCCAGACAUUUCUUUUAAAAUGUUUUUAUUAUUGAUCUUGUGUAAUAUUCUAAUUUUAUGAUAUACUGAAUUUUGGGUUUUCAUUACAUGUUAGUCAUAAUCGUGUAAAUUAGAAGACAUAACGGCUUCAAAUGUUUCAGUCUUUGUAAUGAAUUUAUAUAAUAAAUGAGUUUCACUUUUGGAAAUGAGUGAAAGUUUUUUAUGGUAUUUAAUUUUUGAGAUGUACCUAAGAAGUGGAAAACGUUCUAAAAUUAUUUCAAAUAUCUCAUUAAUUUACAUUACAAACACUUGGCAUUUUACCAGGUGUGUGUACAAUGUAGAAUUUUUACAUGCACUGUAAAUUUCAAUAGCAUUAGUAUAAACUGUUUAUAGCUGUAACAGAGCUGGCAAAAACAUUAAAACAAGACAAAAAAAGAUUCAACAAAUAAGUCAUUCUAAUCCCAACAUUUAUUAGUUUUACAAUUAUGAAAAAUAACUAUAAAAAAGACUGGAAGCUCAAGAUUAUUUACAAUCUUUUAUGAAUUGAGGUCCCUCUGAGUCAAUUUCUCAGCCUUUUUUCUUUUUAAAUCACAGGGUAUUUAUUCACGAUAUGUUUUAUUUUAUAAGACAUAGUCCUUUGCGUUGACAAAAACAUCAAAAAUUAUAUACGUACAUACAUACAUACAUACACACACAUAUAUAUAUAUAUAUAUAUAUAUAUAUAUAUAUAUAUAGAUAGAUAACUAUAAAAGCAAAAAUCAUUCAAGUAUCAAAAUACAGACUGCUCUAGAAACAUGUACAAUUUCAUUCUCAACACAUCAGAUUAGUUCCAAAAAAUGUCUCCAGAUCCUUGGCAAUGUGCAAAAGCAGUACUGGAUCAGGCCGAUGGCUAAAGGUGCCGAGACCGGCGUGCUAAAGAGGGCAUGCCAGUGUGUUGUCAAAUGACGUACAAUGUAUACAACAGUUACAUCUACAACCUUAAGUACCCAUACUCACACUGAUGCACUGAACAGUACCAUUAACAGUCUUCGUACUGGGAGUUACCUGUAGAAAACAUGUUGUACCCUAUUGUUCUGUUCUGCAGCUUAAAAAGUCGUACCAGCCUGCAUGGCAGGUUAUGGUGAAUAAUCUUGUUAGGAUUAAACUGAACAAUGGGGCAGGGAGAGAGAAAAGAGAGCCAGUCAUGAUCCAGUUCCAGCAUUAGGACACAAGCUGCCCCAUAAAAUGAAUAAAACCAGCCAAAUAAGAACCAAAUCAACUAAAAGUGGGAUUUCACUGAGAGAUAGUCUUUGUAGUGUCGGUUACAAGGUUCUUCCCAUGCAGGAUUAUAUUAGGCUGAUGAUUAUGGAGAGAAGCUCCAAUAUUUGGACACAAAGGGUAGUCUGUGCCUACAGUGUGAGGUCUCUCUAAAGUAAAAAAUGUCAAUGUUCCUUAUUUAUGCCACUUCCCCUUUUGCUACAGGUUUCUGCGAUGGAGCAUGCAGGAACGUUUUCUGAAACAGUGAACACUAAGUCUCUGUGAAGGAGGCCACAGCUCGCAUACAGGCAAAUGCAUGGAGAACAGAAACACUGUCACACUCUGAUGGACAGGAAGGUGUGUGUUUGAAAGGUCAGAUGAAAAGGGGUGGGUGAAAGGGCAGGAGGCCUCAUCUAUGUCUCCAGGUCCGUGUGGGUCCCGCAAGCAUGGUCGGACUGAUGAUGUGAGCUGCUGCACGGGUCACUUGUCGACCGAAAAACAAACAAAAAAACAGCCCACUGAUCCCAAUCAAGCAACAAGGUUCAUUCCCGUCCCACCUCACUGAAUGGGAGCGCAGCAACGUUCAGCUACAGGGAGGAGGGGACACGCAGACGCACAUAAAA